rnacentral:rRNA from 1 species
CCUACGGGAGGCUGCAGUGGGGAAUCUUGGACAAUGGGGGCAACCCUGAUCCAGCGACGCCGCGUGGGUGAUGAAGGCCUUCGGGUUGUAAAGCCCUUUCACCGGGGACGAUGAUGACGGUACCCGGAGAAGAAGCACCGGCUAACUCCGUGCCAGCAGCCGCGGUAAGACGGAGGGUGCUAGCGUUGUUCGGAAUCACUGGGCGUAAAGGGCGCGUAGGCGGCCAAGGCAGUCGGUUGGUGAAAGCCCGGGGCUCAACCCCGGAGGUGCGGCCGAUACACUUUGGCUCGAGGCCGGAAGAGGAGGGUGGAAUACCCAGUGUAGAGGUGAAAUUCGUAGAUAUUGGGUGGAACACCGGUGGCGAAAGCGGCUCUCUGGUCCGGACCUGACGCUGAGGCGCGAAAGCGUGGGGAGCAAACAGGAUUAGAUACCCCAGUAGU